AGCCUAGGGAAGAGUAAGGUGUCCGGCCGGGCUGUAUCUCGUGGGUGGCGAGGGAACAUUGCCUGUCUCGGAAACAGUUCCCAAGACAACGCGCAUCCCAGACGCCCGGCGAGGCUGCCUUCCUACAGGAGCGGUCCUAAUCUGCAUAUCCAAGAGCAAUGUAUGUGAACCUACGUUUCCACAGCCUCACCCACAGAAUGUGUGCUCAAACAUUUGGAUUUUUGCCCAUCUACUAGGUCAGCAUUUUACCUAUGGAUGGCAUUUUCUAUUUUCGGUGACGGACUAUGAGCCAGGAUAAACACAUUACUCUCUUCUUUAACAAAAAGAGCAUGGUUAACUCCAAAGACUUCUCUAGACCAGCCUGGAUGGUACCUAAACUUUAAUCAACCAAUGCUCAAGUAAAAGAGCAGUAUCCAGCCCCAGCACACCUAACUGUUUUGCAUAACAUAGGUGAGUAGUGACAUUUUCCUUAUCUUUUCCACUG
rnacentral:lncRNA from 10 species